AGUGAACGCUGGCGGCAGGCCUAAUACAUGCAAGUCGAACGGCAGCACAGCAGAGCUUGCUCUGUGGGUGGCGAGUGGCGGACGGGUGAGGAAUACGUGGGAAUCUGCCCAGUCGUGAGGGAUAACGUAGGGAAACUUACGCUAAUACCGCAUGCGCCCUUUGGGGGAAAGCCGGGGAUCUUCGGACCUGGCACGAUUGGAUGAGCCCACGUCGGAUUAGCUAGUGGGAGGGGUAAAGGCCCACCAAGGCGACGAUCCGUAGCUGGUCUGAGAGGAUGAUCAGCCACACUGGAACUGAGACACGGUCCAGACUCCUACGGGAGGCAGCAGUAGGGAAUAUUGGACAAUGGGCGCAAGCCUGAUCCAGCCAUGCCGCGUGAGUGAAGAAGGCCCUCGGGUUGUAAAGCUCUUUUGUUGGGGAAGAAAAGCCUUGGGUUAAUACCCUGAGGUUCUGACGGUACCCAAAGAAUAAGCACCGGCUAACUUCGUGCCAGCAGCCGCGGUAA
rnacentral:rRNA from 1 species